rnacentral:rRNA from 1 species
AGUGAACGCUGGCGGUAGGCCUAACACAUGCAAGUCGAACGGCAGCACAGGAGAGCUUGCUCUCUGGGUGGCGAGUGGCGGACGGGUGAGGAAUACAUCGGAAUCUACUCUGUCGUGGGGGAUAACGUAGGGAAACUUACGCUAAUACCGCAUACGACCUACGGGUGAAAGCAGGGGAUCUUCGGACCUUGCGCGAUUGAAUGAGCCGAUGUCGGAUUAGCUAGUUGGCGGGGUAAAGGCCCACCAAGGCGACGAUGCGUAGCUGGUCUGAGAGGGUGAUAGGGCACACUGGAACUGAGACACGGUCCAGACUCCUACGGGAGGCAGCAGUGGGGAAUAUUGGACAAUGGGCGAAAGCCUGAUCCAGCCAUACCGCGUGGGUGAAGAAGGCCUUCGGGUUGUAAAGCCCUUUUGUUGGGAAAGAAAUCCAGCUGGCUAAUACCCGGUUGGGAUGACGGUACCCAAAGAAUAAGCACCGGCUAACUUCGUGCCAGCAGCCGCCGUAA